rnacentral:rRNA from 1 species
CAGUCGCCACGGUAAUACGUAGGUGGCGAGCGUUGUCCGGAUUUAUUGGGCGUAAAGGGAGUGUAGGCGGUCUUUUAAGUCUGAUGUGAAAGCCCACGGCUCAACCGUGGAGGGUCAUUGGAAACUGGGAGACUUGAGUGCAGAAGAGGAGAGCGGAAUUCCAUGUGUAGCGGUGAAAUGCGUAGAUAUAUGGAGGAACACCAGUGGCGAAGGCGGCUCUCUGGUCUGUAACUGACGCUGAGGCGCGAAAGCCAGGGGAGCGAACGGGAUUAGAUACCCCAGUAGUCCCUGUCUCUUAUAC